GGUUCGCUGGUGUAAAUGGUUAUCACGUCAGUCUAACAGUUCUCUCAGGAUUCAUUCUUGAGUCUGUGCACUGAAGGUACUCGGAUCGAUCCCGGGGCGAAUCA
rnacentral:tRNA from 1 species